GGUGUCCUGGGUGGUAAGGGGCGGGAGUAGGGGGCCGUGCUGGUCGUCCGGUGACCGAGGCUGAGUUUCGUGGAGAGGCUCCGUCCUGCCUCUACAGAUGCACCACCAAGUAAGCUGAAUGUGCUUCUGGUAGAGGUAACAGCGGUGCCAAAGGCCCGGAGGCCGGACGGAGAGAGACAGCGCAUUUUAGGAUGGUGCAGUAUCCUACGAGCUAGCAAAACCGGGAGCCUGUCUCCUCCAUCUCAGCGCUCCCCACCCAUGCCCGGGUCCUGAGAUUGGCGCAGAGCAAAGCAGGGUGUCAGCACACGUGUGUGUGAAGCUCACCAUCGCCAGGUUUGGCUUGUAACUGAGAUUUCUCAGGCAGGAGGAGGUCCAAGACACACAGACACAAACGCACCUCUUGCAGACCAGGACGCAGAAUUCCCAGAACAGUGGGAAAAAGAUACCUCAGGAAAAGCACCAUGGAGAAGCUUGGCAGUCACCACUUUAACCAAAUGAUCAAAAUUAACUUCACCGGGGAUGGGACAGGCUGCCCUCAUGCGCCUCUUGCUGUGAUGUACUGAGAAGGACACAGCAUCACCUGCAAAGUGCUUGGUCCUGCCCAUAGUGUUUAACCUGAAUCUAAUCGUGAUGACACAACCAGGUACUUCCCGAUUAAGGGGCAUUUGGCCUACAAACAAAUAAACAAGCAAAAAAAAAAACCCCAAACCAAAAGUUCCUGGAUUCUUCAAACAGAUGUAUGUCAUGCAAGGGAAAAUCAAUCCAUUAAUAGAAUGAAUGAAUGAAUGAAUGAAUGAAUGAAUGAAUGAAAUGCUCGGAAUGGUUCUAUAUUGAAGGAAACAAAGAGAGGCAACAGCCAAAGUCAAUGUAUAAUCCUUGAUUGGAUCCUUGACGAAAGAUAUUCCUGGGAUAAUCAAAGAUAUUUGAAUGUGCAGUGGAUAUGAGAUAAUAUAUCCAUGUUGAAUUUCCUGAAUGUGAGCAUUGCGCUGUGGUUAGAUAAGAGAAUGUUCUUUGUGGGAGGAACACGCUGAAUUAUUUAGUGGUAAAUUUGUGACGGUUGCAACUGUCAAAAUAGCUCAGAAAAAAACCAUAUGUCUAUAUAUUUUAUAUACAACAUCAUAAUAUGCUAUAUGUUAGU